rnacentral:misc_RNA from 1 species
AACGCAUAUUGCGCUCUUUGGUAUUCCGAAGAGCAUGCUUGUUUGAGUAUCAGUAAACACCUCAAAGCUUUUGGAUUUUUUUUUGAAAGUUUUGGACUUGAGCAAUCCCAACACCAAUCUUUUUCAGAUCGGCGGCGGGUUGCUUGAAAUGCAGGUGCAGCUGGACAUUCUCCUGAGCUAAAAGCAUAUUCAUUUAGUCCCGUCAAACGGAUUAUUACUUUUGCUGCAGCUAACAUAAAGGGAGUUUGACCGCAUUGGCUGACUGAUGCAGGAUUUUACAAGGGUCGGCAACGAUUCUUGUUAAACUCGAUCUCAAAUCAAGUAAGACUACCCGCUGAACUUAA